GGAGUCUGGGCCGUGUCUCAGUCCCAAUGUGGCCGUCCACCCUCUCAGGCCGGCUAUGGAUCGUCGCUUUGGUGGGCCGUUACCCCGCCAACUGGCUAAUCCAACGCGGAGCCAUCCUGUACCACCGGAGUUUUUCACACUUGACCAUGCGGUCAUGUGCGCUUAUGCGGUUUUAGCAGCCAUUUCUGGUUGUUAUCCCCCUGUACAGGGCAGGUUCUCCACGCGUUACUCACCCGUCCGCCACUAACUUUUCAAAUCCUUCAACCGAAGUCUCAUUCAUUGUAAAGUCCGUUCGACUUGCAUGUGUUAGGCACGCCGCCAGCGUUCAUC
rnacentral:rRNA from 1 species